rnacentral:lncRNA from 1 species
ACAUUGUAAUGCCAAUUUUGGCGAGACAGGCAUUUGAAAACUGUCUCACAUGCGCAUAUGAAUCAAAAUGCAGUUAUCCACAAGUAUCUAUAACAUAGCAGGUUACAAAAUCCUCCAUGAAAUGAUAGUUUACAACAUAGAUUGACAAAAUACAACACUUGGAAAAGUUAGAAAACAGUACAAUCCAGUUCACACAAACAGAACAUUUAAACUAUUGAAGUUGCUAUUCAAGUUCUUGCUGUCGCCCCUCUUGAUGGAAAUUAUCAUGUCAGUGCAAAUUGUGAUGGGGCAGCACCAAGUAGCCCGGUACGCAAUCAUACCUAGCAUAUUUACAACACCAUUAGAUAUUUGUAGAUAUGAAUAGAUUGUAAAAAUAAGAGAAUUGAAACAAAUAUAAAAAAUGAAUAACUCAUGCUGUCCAAAAUUCUUAAAUCUUGCACUGCUACAAGUGAGAAUAACAUAGUAUCUACUACAUACAUGUUUCAUGUAGAUCCGUAUUAAUUAAAACAACCAAGUUAUGGGUAAAAAAAUGAAAUGUCAAGUACUUGUGCAUAUCAUCCAAACAAGAAAAACAAAAACACUGGGGGACAAUAUAUACUGCAGUGCAAAAGAUUCAUUCAAUUAUCUUAUGUCCAGUCAUCCUUGAUGAUAAGUUAUUAAUAUAGAAGAAGGGAUAGUUAUGCGCUGAGAAAACAAACAACUACAUACUUCUACAGUUGUGUCCAGUAGUAUAUUAUUUUUCCAUCCUUGUAAGUAGGCAUGAAUCGACUUGUCAAUAUUUGGCAGAACAACACCUUUGGGUACCACCAAUUUGCAAAAAAUAGGUUACCCAACCCCAGAACCUACCCUAUUAUAUAUAGCAUUAAGAAAUUGGGCAUACCCUAAAGAACAAUAUCCACAUAUUGUUGACACUUGACAGUUGACCAAAAAAGAUAUAUAGUGAAAAUAAAACCAAAAGGCUAUGAAAGAGACAGUAAUAGACCUAUCUAAGAAUGUGGACAUUUUGCCCAAGGAUAAAUUUCUCUUGCAACCAUAAGAGAACAUCAACAUACAGCUGAAGAAUUACUAUUUGACAAGAAGCAUUUGACAGGAACAAUAGUAAAUAAAUUAAUAAGUGGUGAUGCAAAAUUACCACCAGCAGUUUGUGAGGUAACACGAUACCAGUGCAGCCUGGAGGAUCGACAUCAUAAGCUUCGCUUACAUGUAGCUAGGGCCACAUCAAUCUCAGCACCAACAUCCAAAGAUCCGCAGUCCCAUCAAAAUGUCCAACCUUAGGCUCCAAUCUGGGUGUUGAGAAAAUUGCAUACAAAAUCUGGGUGUCUAUGAGAUAGACCUGGGCAAAGCAUCCGACAAAACUUAGCACACUGUUAAAACAACUUUUGACAGAGAAUUGAGACAUACAAGAAUUUCAUUGGAGCCCAAAGUGCAAUGACAACACCAAUAUUAUUAUUUGCUGCAAACCAAGAUCAAAUAAUAAGAACACCAAACUUUUCAAACCUGAAGAUUGUUACACUAUUUCAUUAUCUAUGUGUGCCUCUAAAUCUCUAAAGCUAUAGAUUUUACACUAUUUCAUUAUUUCAUUUUAGAGCCUCAAUCAUGUAGAAUGGGACAACUUAUUCAGUGGUAAAUCUUGUGCCCCUCCCUCUAGCUCAGGGAGUAGCUUAUUCAGUGGUAAAGCUGUGUGCCUCUCCCUCUGCCUCUCAACUUUUGUAGAUGGAAGAAAGUUACUUCUAAAUCUUGCCGUGGUAUGUUCAAUCAUAGAAGUUUCACAACACCAUAUACCAACAUAUAUUGUGAAAAUGUGCCUUGACUGUCACAUGCACACACCAAGAAACAUCCAAUAUUAAUUCAGA